GGACAUCACUGAAAAUGCAGUCUACUUAAAUAGCUAUUUGGAUAAUUAGAUAGAUCCAAUCAGUGGGGGAAAACCACAAAAGCAAUCAUUAGAUGAGAAAAUGCUCACGUUGAAAAUGCACUGGUGUCAGAAAGAAAGAAAAUGAUUUUUUUUUCAAAGCAACUAGAGUUUAGGGAAAAGUGCUGAGAAACCAGUUUCUUUUCAUAGGAAUGGGCGAGACUGAUUAUGCAUUUGUUAGUUCCGUCAGCACUGUUUGGAUACAAUAUAGAUGCAUUGAUUUUCAUGCAUAUGCUAUGUGUCCUUUUCCUACACAGAAAAUAUGGUGUUCACAAAAAAGAGAUGAGAUUUUUUGGUGGUUGAAAUAAUAAAUUCAACUUUUUGUCUUCAUCUUAAGUUAUUUUCCUUCUGAUCUUAAUAAAUUAUUUGUGAUUUAUUAUGAAGAAUAUUUGCCCAAGAAAAUUAAUUCCAGCAGAAGGUCAGACCUCAAACCUCUCAUUUUAUAGCUUCAUCUUUAGAGGAAGUUUUGGAAAUGGAAGCAGGAAAAGCAGAAGACAGGUCACUGCACAGACAAGGUCUUCCUUUAAUAGAUGGUCAGACCAGGAGAGAGCCUCAAACAUCAUAAUUCUACAGAGCCGGAGCUUGUCUUUGGCCACCUGUGUCCUCAGCAGCUGGGAAAUGCAGACAGUGGACAGUAGGCAGCAGAGGGAAGAACCACUUCUGGAAUGGAAUCUGAGCUACAGAAGAUUCCAUCAACGAGCAGAAAGAGGUAGGCGUGCCAUGUCUUGUUAAUAGCAUUGAUCAUGUCUGGAAGUCACAGGUCAACAUGGUAAAGGCUACAAGGGAAAUAUAAUCCACGUUUUUGAAUCCUCCUGAAAACAUUGACUUAAGUCUCUCUCCUAGGCCUCCAUAUCAGAAGUGAUUUUUAAAAUAUUUAUAUCUAUACAGGUUUAAUUUUUUUUAAUAAAAGAAUGCAAUACACCCCA
rnacentral:lncRNA from 1 species